AACAUUCGUGCGGGAAAACGCGCAAUUAGUAUGUAUAUAAAACUGGACCGCCGAAUGAGAAAAAUCAGUCGAGUACGAAUAGCAGUGCAAUUGUGAUUGUGAGAAGAGACGUUACUUAAAUCUAAUCAUGGCCCGAAAAUAUACGUUCUCCAUGAUCUUUCUGGUGCUCGUUUGUGCAAACGUAUUACAAGGGCAACCUGUAGGAACUUUAUUUCCUAACUUUGUUAGCACUCUAGCUCUCGAUAAAGUUGGUGACUUCGCUCAUAACAUGCUCAAAAAUGCGUUCAAUAUGAGGAAAACCUUUCAGGAAGGCUUUGGUAGCUAUUUAGGAACAUUUCAUAAAGAAAUGAAGGGAGGUUUUUCACAGGGACUUGAAGCCCUCAAACAUAUAGGAUCAACACUGCGUGCGGGUCCCUUGGGGCCAGAAGGUGCAUCACCAGCAGCACCAGUAGGAGUUGUUUCCACUGAUUAAAAAAUUUUCUGUAUGUUUCUUGCGUAGAUUAAAAAUAACACGUUAACAAGUUUACAUUUAACUCUAAAAUAUUAUUAAAAUUUUCUAAAAUAUUAGAUUGAUUAUGAUAUCGUAGAUCAGUUUGUAGUAGAGAAUACGACGUACACAUGUAAUUUUUAAUUAAAGAAUCGAAAUAGUAAUGUUGAAUAUAUAUAAUUGUAGGCAAUUUCUUAUAAAUCAAUUGUUAUGAUUAAUACACAAUAGUUGCGAGAUACUUGUUUGUUGUAGUGAACAACAAGAUAUUAUCGUCGUGCUAAUAUCCGUCGAGGUGUUAAUCCAUCGUUAACGUAGCGUAAAAAUUUAUAUUUCAUUAAUUACAUUAAUUAGCUGUCGAUUUGUUUACUAUUUUUGUGAAUCAUAAAAUGGAAUAAAUUCAAAGGAAACUUCCGAGUUAAAAUUUUGAUCCUACUUUCAACCUCACUAUUUCAUUCAACACCUAUUUUGAAAAAAAAUAAAGUAAAAGAAAGUAAAGAGAGAAACUUCGAACAUUAUCAGAUUCAAAGUAGGAGUAAAUAUUAUUAGAAUUAGACUUACUUUGAUAAUUUAAUUCUUACUGCGUUGUAAAAUUCAAGCUUUAAUAUACGGCCAAAAUUUCGACUCAGAUUGGUUCACUAAAACUGAAUAAUUGUUCAUUAUAAGUUAGGAAUGCCUGCAUUAUAUAAAACAUUGAAUUUGUAAACGGAAUAUCUAUGUUGUAUGUGUACGAGAUUACAAGUAAAAUGCACAUGUCUGUCAUUAAAUAUGUUGUGUUAACGUUAAAAAAAUCCACGCAUUUAAAUUUGUCCCUCGAAUUAUAAAACGCUUUAACCGUUUUAUUUAUUUAUCAUUUAGCCAAGUAACAUUUUUAUCACCAGUUCACGCAAUAUAUUAUACUGAAUUAAAUUAAAGUUUAUGCGACACGCGCGAUUAAUUUACAAGCGUAUUCGCGUGCCAGUUUAAAUAUUUCUGAUUCGUAUUCUUCACACGUUUGAAAUGAAACUCUACUUCGCAACGGUGAGUAAAAUAUGACAAGUGUGUUUCUUGGCACGCGGCCUCUAUUUAUAGCGGUUGGAAGAAGUUCAAAUGCGAAAGGGACAAACAAUCUCGGGUGCGUUCCGAGAAUGCAAACUCAAACUGAGGCAAUAUCAAACAAAGUACCAUGAUGAUAUCCUCUUGACGAAAGAGGCGUCACGGAAUAAAAAAUUUGUACGAUGUAAUGUGCAGUUUACAAAAUUUCACUGCGGGAUUAGUAGGCGGGACGUUACACAGAGUACCAUAAUUUUGACUUGUUUUUAAAACAUUACACGUUUUAAAAAUAUGAUAAACGUAAUAUAUCAGCUGUACUUCGAUAAAUUCUUAUCACAUUGUCACGCACGGAAAUGCAAAUGGUCAUAAAACAGUUAUCGAGUCAUUGUAAAUUCUAAUUGUUGCCUUAGUAUCGCGAGAUAGUCACGUGUACGUAGAAACCGCAAUAAAUCUCACUGACAGUAAUAAUAGUUGAGAAAGCAGUUAACGGUCACCAAUGCCAGCGAGUUGCGUUCUACUAUCUUAACGUCCUUGCGUGAGCAUUCGCUUCCUGAUUCGUAUUCCGCAACUACUUGCUCCACGCUGUCAACGAGUAGGCUUUCUGUUUUCACCGUGCUCGUUUUAUUACGCGAGAAUUAGCAUAAUAAAAUAUAAAGUGUAUCAUUUCCAUAAUAACGGUAAAAUGUGACGCAACAAUAGUGUAAAUAAGAUAUUGGAUGCACCUCUUUUUGUCAGUUUUAUUAUCUCGCUAAGAAUACAUUUACCGCGUAUAAAAAUGUCGAUUGAGCAAGUAUUAUUUUUCUCAACAGAACGCAACAGAACAUGAGUUUCUCCAUAUUUGUAGUAAUAACUGUGUAAUAUUUUGUUGUACUCAUACAUUAAAAAUAAUAUGCAAUCAUUUCUUAGUAAUCGAUAAGGAAUCUCGAGAUGAAGACGAGAUGAUUCCUGACAGUACGAAAACAAUUGUAGCUGUGAUGGUGCGACUAUCUAAACAAUAGCACUACAUGUUGGUUGGUACAACUGCAAUCAGUAUGCCAAGCGCAAUUUCAGUUCCAGCAACUUCUAUUAUUAGUGCCUUCUCUACGAUGCGAUCGAAUUAAUAGUUGAAGAGGAUUACGGAAUGUCUGGAAUUUCUACUUGGUAGCAUUGCGAUUUAGCAACAUCGAGAUCGUCAGCAGUAUCGAGUCUUUAAUAGCUUCUUCGACAGCGUGAUUUCCACAUCGAUCGCCCUCCAAAUUUUUUAAUUUUUUACAAUCAUACUUUUAUUACUUUUAUUAUUACUUUUAGUAUUACUUUCCUCGCCGUGAAUAUCGUGAGGGAAUUUUCCGGUAAAUCCAAAUGAGAUAAUAAUACAUCAAUGCUUCUUUCCUUUCGAUGAGCACCGCGAAUAUUGUCAUGUGGAAGGACAGCGCAGUUUAGAUAAGUCUUCCGACGUUGGCGGUCAUGAAUACAUAUGCAAUAGGAAAGCUGAUUGAAAUGUAACGGUUGCGCCACUGCUAUUACCUACGAUGUUCGCUGGACCAACGACAGUCCUGCCCACAGAUAGUCGAGUCACAAUCGUUGGAGCACGUAUCGUAGAAAUUCAAUGUAUGUCGCUUACUAUGGCAAACCGCGCGUUCCUAUCUGCACGGAUAUUUUAUGGAUACAACAUUAUACAUUGUAAAAAAAUUUGCGUACAUAGUACGUAAAUAAAUAUUCCAAAACGUUCACUCUAAAUUUUGUGUCGAAAAUAAUUUAUUCAUAUGUUCAUUCGUGUGUUAUUUAUCUUAUGUACUAGUCUAUAUAUAAUGUAAAUAACACACGAAUGAACAUAUGAAUAAGUUAUUUUCGACACAAAAUUCAGAGUGGGCUUUUUGGAACAUUUGUUUACGUACUGUGUACACAAGAUUUUUUACAGUGUAUACAUCAUUAACAGUGCUAGAUCAUAUUGUCGAUGGAGUGAACAAUCGUAGUUAACAAUCGUGAUGAAUAAUACAGAUGUUUAAUUGAUGUUUCGUAAACAAGGGCCGUCGAGAAAUGUCAACUGCGAACGAUGCGCUUAAGUCGUUUUCUAGGGAAAACAAUGCAGUCGAUGAGAAGUAGAAAUUUUGGCAGACAACCUGACUGCGAAAUCAUUCGAGGUCAAAAGGUUAAACGUAUAAAGACGAGCGUCGCUGUGUGACGGAUCGUCCAUACGAAAUCACGCGAAUAAUGCAGGCGUAUUGCUCCGAAUGCGUAGUAAAUCAAUGUAUUCCCAAUCGGACCGUAUCAUUUAGAGCAUAAUCGUAUCGAGUCCGGCGUAUCAUCGUCACUACCACAGUGCAUGCAUCCCCGUGGCCCGCGUCAGCACGUCGAGUGAUUUGAGAACAAUAUCAACGACGCAUCCGUCCCGGCCAAUGAGAACGGAUACAGAGUUGCGCGUACGCGAAUUUGCAUAACUCGGUUCGUUGCGGACGUGCGGCGCAUGGAUAGCGCUCGAUGGUUGGCGUUGUCGUGCGAUCCCACGUAGCGCAAUCGGGCAAUCCUCUUUCCUGAAAACGGGAAAAAAAACGAUUUGUAACGGAAAAUGGUAAUACUAUUACCAUACAUGCGCCGUUGAUAGGAUUACAGAACGUAAAAUUGAUAAUUUAUGCGUGAGGUUUAAUACACUUUGGCGUGUCGCGCGCAUUGGAGAGAGAGAGAGAGAGAGAGAGAGAGAGAGAGAGAGAGAGAGAGAGAGAGAGAAAGAGAGAGGACCAAUUAACAAAUAUAAAUAUCCGAACGCCAAGACAUUGUACGUAAAUAAUUUCGAAAUUACACUAUUCUAAAACAGAGAUGACUGUAAUAAAACUGUAUGAAAUAUUACGAAGGUCGAAAUUCGCGAAGCAUUUCGGUCGUGUUAUCAUUAAAAUACGAUAUUCGUUUCAAGCACACCGAAGUGACCUACAGCGUUGAUUCAGAAACAGCUCGAUGCCGCUCGAUUCAUAUUUCACGCGAGUGACACAAAAGUGCAUUACUGGACUAGUAGAUUAAACUUUUCUCAUCAAGCACGCGGCGACGGAUACUUUCGACAUAACAAGCUCCCCUUCGACCACUCGGUUGAUGAAGUACGACAAAGUUUGCCCGCUUACCGGCAACUUCAUCACGGCUACGUUUCCACGGUGACUUUUUCAAUCCUCUUUCCGCGACCCCCGUAUUGCCGGCUGCAAACUCGUCGAUUUUCUCAUAAGCUAUUCUUUCUAUUAUAGAGACUUUGCUUACGGGUAGCUUUCAUUAACAUGAAUGGAACAAAUGUCGGCAUUAAAGUACAUUUCGCUUCUCGCUGAAAUAUUGAAGCGAAAUCAAUUUGAAAAAAUCCCCCGUUUGUUCCGUUAUUACAAUGCGAUCAAUCUGAAUUGAAAUUUAUUGUGCUUGCAUUGCUAGUUCUCUGAAAUCUAUAUGCAAAAGUAUAUUGAAUAAAAUACAAAGAGUAUAUUGAAUGAGGGCUAUUGUACAAUGUAUUAUUCACGCCAUAAUAGACUUAGAUCGAUAAAAGAAUUAUCAGAUCGAUAAAAGCAGAUCAGAAACACAUUAAUUCUUCAAGGUGACCGUUUUACCUUCCAACCGGCUUCGAAAUAACUGCAGUGAAUAAUUUUCACAUAUGUCUAUCUGUUAAAUAAUUGUUUAGACAUAUAGAUUUUUCGAAAGAAAUUGUACAUGAACGAUAAGAGGGUGAUUUUAAUAUUCCUGUCUAUCAUUCUAUCACACUAAAUGAUACAAUAUUGUCGUUGGACAAUGUUACAAUUUCUUGGACAGCUAUUCUUAACUUAAUGCAUCAUAUUGACCACACCUAAUGACAGAAUAAUGAUAAUCAACAUAGACACGAACAACUUUAUGUUCGUGUAAGGUAAAUGACAUUGGCGAUCGUUAGAGUAGGAACAAAUCGCUAUAAAAGACAUUGUCAGACCAAGCGAGUCUAUUAGUUCGGACUUUUCAGCAUCGGGAGAAGACCGAAAGAGACAACAACGUCAAUUGAUCUUUCAGCUGAUCACGAAAUCUCUCAUCAAUAACUGCUGCAUAAAUUUUCAGAUGUCUCUUAAAUUUUGACAUCUCUGCAUAAUUUUCAGGAUAAUAAGGUAAUUAUUUCAAUCUAUUUACGUAAUACAACAUUAAAGCAUCGUUUAUGUCUCCAUCAUUUAGUUUUCAAGAUCCGUUAUACUGUUUUCUUCAGGUGAUAAUUUUCGUUAUAAUCGCAAUGACUAUCGCUCAUCUCGACAGAGAUGAGCGUAGAAAUUUGAGUGUGCCUGUGGCCGCAUCGUUGGCGUUUGUAACUACAGUAACAGGACCGAAAGCUGGUCCAAACAAAGCUGUGGUAGGUCCCGUUGCUGGCGCUGCAGCUGUUGCUGCAAGCGUAUCCCCGCUCGUUACUUCUCCGGUGUCCGCAACAACGGUCAUCGUCAGACAAGCAGGUGCAGUUGUCACUUCGAGGCUGUCCGUCCCGGACACUAUUGCAGCUCCUCAUGUCUAGUAACUACAAGUGUCAAAUUAUGACGUUACAAUAAUGCGGAAAUUAUUGUAUUAUAGAAUGGAAUUUGAAUAAAUU